CUGCCUCCAGGACCAGGGUUGGGAACCACUGGUCUAAAUUAUGACAUUGUGUGAUUGUGAAUUUCAAUUGUUGGAUAGAUUUGACAUUUGAAUGUGAAGACAAAGUUCUGCAAUAGUGAGUGGCCCAGCUCCUUUGUCGACGGAAGCCACAGCAGAGCAUCUGUUUGAAGAAAUCCACCUGAUCAGCCAGGAGCUCCUAGUCGCAAUCAUGUCUCACACCCUGCUCAGAGCUCUAGUUGUCAUGAGGAGAGGGGCUGUCACUGACAAAACCAUGCAGGGGAGCGGCAUCUGUGAAAUCCCUCUCUACUACUCUACCGUUCACUCCCUAAUCAAUAUCAGGAGCAACAACACGAAGGAAGGCGAGGCCGAGGGAGGAAAACGAAAGCAAAGCAAACAACACAUUUUCAGUGGGGGAAGAAAAUUAGCGUGCAACGAGAUUCUUCCACGCACCUGUCAUCAUCCGCUUCGGCUCUUAAUGAGAGUGCUUCUAUUCCUGAUCACAUCAUAUUUGUUUUAUACAAGUCCCUUUGAACAGC